CCUACGGGUGGCAGCAGUGGGGAAUAUUGGGCAAUGGAGGCAACUCUGACCCAGCAACGCCGCGUGAAUGAUGAAGGUCUUCGGAUUGUAAAGUUCUGUGAUGGGGGAUGAACACAAUGACGGUACCCCAAUAGCAAGCCACGGCUAACUACGUGCCAUCAGCCUCGGCAAUACGUCGGUGGCAAGCGUUAUACGGAGUGAAUGGGCGUAAAGGGUUCGUAGGUGGUUUAGUAAGUUGGCGGUGUAAUUCCGGGGCGCAACCUCGGCGCUACCGCCAAAACUAUUAGACUAGAGUGCAGGAGGGGUAAGUGGAAGUCCUAGUGUAGCGGUGGAAUGCGUAGGUAUUAGGAGGAACAUCAGGGGCGAAGGCGACUUAAUGGACUGUAACUGACACUGAGGCACGAAAGCGUGGGGAGCAAACAGGAUUAGAUACCCCGGUAGUC
rnacentral:rRNA from 1 species